rnacentral:lncRNA from 1 species
GUCUUGUAUGAAAAUAUUUUACAUCUGGGAUAUUUUCGUGGACCCAAGUUUCAGUGACACAUCCAAUGUCUGCAUUUACUUUAUUGAAGAAGCAGUUUCCAUUUAUCCACUUUAUCAGUGAGCUUGAAUUACAAACAAGCACAUUCGGAGACUGGGGCAUUUUGGGAUGUAUUUGCGACAUCACAUACUUCAGUUAGAACUCUGCAUUCACGUACCAUCGUCUUUUCUUUUGUGGAAUACAUGCCUUUACCCAGAUGAGGACCCCAUUCCAUUCUUAGCAACGCUGGCCCAUCUCAACUACUGACCUGUCUUUUUGUUUGUCUCUGGUUUGGUCCGACUGCGCUCUGAGCUGUGCCUGGUGACGGAUGCUAAGCACUCGGCCAACAUGACGGCGCUGACUCUCUGCCGCCUCUACAGCCUGUCCAUCCAGGCCUUCUGGACCGUGCUGCAGAGGUUCCCUAAGCAAGAGGCCCACAUCAGCCAUGUGGCCCUCCAGCACCCCACAUCCUGCUCCAACCUUCUCUGUGACAGUCACUAAGUCCUCCGUCUGUCCACACUGCAGCAUCUGGUCUUAGUAUACACAUCUGACACAAUGGAAAACUCUUCUGUGUCGUACAUUUCAAGGUGCAUUUUGUUCUGCACAUUUCCUGAUAAAUUGGUGUCUUAAUCUGUUCACACUGCAGCACACGGCACACACUUUUUUUCAUAGCAGGUGAUGAUGAUGAUGAUUUUGGUUCAAUACUGAACAACUGUCACUGUCCAGGCUUCCUUUUAAUCAGUCCAAAAUCGAAGUUGGUGUAAGGUUGGCAAAAAAAACGUGGUCUUUUACUCCUGUGUAUCUUUUUGGUGUAUAUACGCAUAUAUUGUAUUUGGAUUACUGAUACGGCGUUAUGUGGGUUGCUAACUGGAUUCGUCCUGUGAUUUCUUGUUUUUGAUUAUUAUUUGUGUACCUGUUUGAUAUUUUUGCUGCAUUGUUAGGAGCUAGUAACACAAGCAUUUCGCUAUACCCACGACAACAACUGUGUACGCAACCAAUAAACUUUGAUU